UACGUAGGGUGCGAGCGUUGUCCGGAAUUAUUGGGCGUAAAGGGCUCGUAGGCGGCCAACUAAGUCAGACGUGAAAUCCCUCGGCUUAACCGGGGAACUGCGUCUGAUACUGGAUGGCUGGAGUUUGGGAGAGGGAUGCGGAAUUCCAGGUGUAGCGGUGAAAUGCGUAGAUAUCUGGAGGAACACCGGUGGCGAAGGCGGCAUCCUGGACCAAUACUGACGCUGAGGAGCGAAAGCCAGGGGAGCAAACGGG
rnacentral:rRNA from 1 species